GUAGGUGGCAAGCGUUGUCCGGAAUUAUUGGGCGUAAAGCGCGCGCAGGCGGUUCUUUAAGUCUGAUGUGAAAGCCCACGGCUCAACCGCGGAGGGUCAUUGGAAACUGGAGAACUUGAGUACAGAAGAGGAAAGCGGAAUUCCACGUGUAGCGGUGAAAUGCGUAGAGAUGUGGAGGAACACCAGUGGCGAAGGCGGCUUUCUGGUCUGUAACUGACGCUGAGGCGCGAAAGCGUGGGGAGCAAACAGGGAUUAGAUACCCUGGUAGUCCACGCCGUAAACGAUGAGUGCUAAGUGUAAGGGGGUUUCCGCCCCCUUAGUGCUGCAGCUAACGCAUUAAGCACUCCGCCUGGGGAGUACGGCCGCAAGGCUG
rnacentral:rRNA from 1 species